GUGAGGAAUAUUGGUCAAUGGACGUAAGUCUGAACCAGCCAAGUAGCGUGCAGGACGAAGGCCCUAUGGGUUGUAAACUGCUUUUAUGCGGGGGUAAAGUGAGUGACGUGUCAUUCAUUGCAAGUACCGCAAGAAUAAGGACCGGCUAAUUCCGUGCCAGCAGCCGCGGUAAUACGGAAGGUCCUGGUGUUAUCCGGAUUUAUUGGGUUUAAAGGGAGCGUAGGCCGUCAGGCAAGCGUGUUGUGAAAUGUCGUGGCUCAACCAUGGACUUGCAGCGCGAACUGCCCGACUUGAGUGCGCAGAAAGCAGGCGGAAUUUGUGGUGUAGCGGUGAAAUGCUUAGAUAUCACGAAGAACCCCGAUUGCGAAGGCAGCCUGCUGUAGCGCUACUGACGCUGAAGCUCGAAAGUGCGGGUAUCGAACAGGAUUAGAAACCCGGGUAGUCC
rnacentral:rRNA from 1 species